rnacentral:tRNA from 1 species
GCAGGCAUAGUACAACGGUUAGUACUUCACAUUGCCAAUGUGAUGAUACGGGUUCGAUUCCCGUUGCUUGCU